rnacentral:rRNA from 1 species
AUUGAACGCUGGCGGCAGGCCUAACACAUGCAAGUCGAACGAGUGGCGGACGGGUGAGUAAUGACUGGGAAACUGCCCGAUGGAGGGGGAUAACUACUGGAAACGGUAGCUAAUACCGCAUCCCAUCGGAUGUGACCAGAUGGGAGUCGCUAGUAGGUGGGGUAACGGCUCACCCAGGCGACGAUCCGUAGCUGGUGUGAGGGGAGGACCAGCCAAACUGGAACUGAGACACGGUCCAGACUCCUACGGGAGGCAGCAGUGGUGAAUAUUGCACAAUGGGCGCAAGCCUGAUGCAGCCAUGCCGCGUGUAUGAAGAAGGCCUUCGGGUUGUAAAGUACUUUCAGCGAGGAGGCGUUACUCGCAGAAGAAGCACCGGCUAACUCCGUGCCAGCAGCCGCGGUAAUUC